rnacentral:rRNA from 1 species
UACGGAGGAUGCAAGCGUUAUCCGGAAUGAUUGGGCGUAAAGCGUCCGCAGGUGGCUAUGUAAGUCUGCUGUUAAAGAGUCUAGCUCAACUAGAUAAGAGCAGUGGAAACUACAAGGCUAGGGUACGUUCGGGGCAGAGGGAAUUCCUGGUGUAGCGGUGAAAUGCGUAGAGAUCAGGAAGAACACCAGUGGCGAAGGCGCUCUGCUAGGCCGUAACUGACACUGAGGGACGAAAGCUAGGGGAGCGAAUGGG